rnacentral:rRNA from 1 species
UACGACUCCUACGGGAGGCAGCAGUGGGGGAUAUUGCACAAUGGGGGGAACCCUGAUGCAGCGACGCCGCGUGGGCGAGGGAGCGCCUCGGCGCGUAAAGCCCUUUCGGCGGGGGAGAACGAUGACGGUACCCGACGAAGAAGCACCGGCUAAAUACGUGCCAGCAGCCGCGGUAAUACGUAUGGUGCGAGCGUUGUCCGGAUUUACUGGGCGUGAAGGGGGCGCAGGCGGCGCGCCAAGCCCGAUGUGAAAGCCCGGGGCUCAACCCCGGGACUGCUUUGGAAACUGUGUAACUAGAGUACAGGAGGGGCAGGCGGAAUUCCUGGUGUAGCGGUGAAAUGCGUAGAUAUCAGGAGGAACACCGGCGGCGAAGGCGGCCUGCUGGACUGAAACUGACGUUGAGGCUCGAAAGCGUGGGGAGCAAACAGGAUUAGAUACCCGAGUA